UACGGAGGAUGCGAGCGUUAUCCGGAUUUAUUGGGUUUAAAGGGUGCGUAGGCGGUAUGCCAAGUCAGCGGUAAAAAUGCGGUGCUCAACGCCGUCGAGCCGUUGAAACUGGCGUUCUUGAGUGGGAGAGAAGUAUGCGGAAUGCGUGGUGUAGCGGUGAAAUGCAUAGAUAUCACGCAGAACUCCGAUUGCGAAGGCAGCAUACCGGCGCCCUACUGACGCUGAGGCACGAAAGCGUGGGUAUCGAACAGG
rnacentral:rRNA from 1 species